AUUGAACGCUGGCGGCAGGCCUAACACAUGCAAGUCGAGCGGAUGAAGGGAGCUUGCUCCUGGAUUCAGCGGCGGACGGGUGAGUAAUGCCUAGGAAUCUGCCUGGUAGUGGGGGAUAACGUCCGGAAACGGGCGCUAAUACCGCAUACGUCCUGAGGGAGAAAGUGGUGGAUCUUCGGACCUCACGCUAUCAGAUGAGCCUAGGUCGUAUUAGCUAGUUGGUGGGGUAAAGGCCUACCAAGGCGACGAUCCGUAACUGGUCUGAGAGGAUGAUCAGUCACACUGGAACUGAGACACGGUCCAGACUCCUACGGGAGGCAGCAGUGGGGAAUAUUGGGCAAUGGGCGAAAGCCUGAUCCAGCAAUGCCGCGUGUGUGAAGAAGGUCUUCGGAUUGUAAAGCACUUUAAGUUGGGAGGAAGGGCAGUAAGUUAAUACCUUGCUGUUUUGACGUUACCAACAGAAUAAGCACCGGCUAACUUCGUG
rnacentral:rRNA from 1 species